CAUAAUGAAGGCACAACCAGACAUCCCAUAAUGAAGGCACAACCAGACAUCCCAUAAUGAAGGUACAACCAGACAUCCCAUAAUGAAGGCACAACCAGACAUCCCAUAAUGAAGGCACAACCAGACAUCCCAUAAUGAAGGUACAACCAGACAUCCCAUAAUGAAGGUACAACCAGACAUCCCAUAAUGAAGGCACAACCAGACAUCCCAUAAUGAAGGUACAACCAGACAUCCCAUAAUGAAGGCACAACCAGACAUCCCAUAAUGAAGGCACAACCAGACAUCCCAUAAUGAAGGCACAACCAGACAUCCCAUAAUGAAGGUACAACCAGACAUCCCAUAAUGAAGGCACAACCAGACAUCCCAUAAUGAAGGCACAACCAGACAUCCCAUAAUGAAGGCACAACAGUAACACUACAGAGCUAACAGUAGCUAACAGUACAGAGCUAACAGUAACACUACAGAGCUAACAGUAGCUAACAGUACAGAGCUAACAGUAACACUACAGAGCUAACAGUAGCUAACAGAGCUAACAGUAGCACUACAGAGCUAACAGUAACAGUACAGAGCUAACAGUAGCUAACAGUAACACUACAGAGCUAACAGUAGCUAACAGUACAGAGCUAACAGUAACACUACAGAGCUAACAGUAGCUAACAGUACAGAGCUAACAGUAGCUAACAGUA